UCAGAAUCUUCUUCUCAACAGAUGCCUUUGGUGUGCUGUCCUAAUGUUGUCCUUCCAUGUAAUUCAAGUACAAGGUCAGUCUCUGAUCUACUGUCUUUAUUGCUGAGUUGUGUCGUCACUGUAUGUUAUUCCAUGAUUAGUCUAUGAUUGGAUUGGGUAAUGUAUAACUGCUUAAAUGGGGGAAAAAAAGGG